rnacentral:rRNA from 1 species
AUGCAGCCAUGCCGCGUGUGUGAAGAAGGCCUUCGGGUUGUAAAGCACUUUCAGUAGGGAGGAAGGUAGUGUACGUUAACUACCUGCAUUAUUUGACGUUACCUACAGAAGAAGCACCGGCUAACUCCGUGCCAGCAGCCGCGGUAAUACGGAGGGUGCGAGCGUUAAUCGGAAUUACUGGGCGUAAAGCGCAUGCAGGCGGCCUGUUAAGUCAGAUGUGAAAGACCCGGGGCUUAACCUCGGAAUUGCAUUUGAAACUGGCAGGCUAGAGUCUUGUAGAGGGGGGUAGGAAUUUCAGGUGUAGCGGUGAAAUGCGUAGAGAUCUGAAGGAAUACCAGUGGCGAAGGCGGCCCCCCUGGACAAAGACUGACGCUCAGAUGCGAAAGCGUGGGGAGCAAACAGGAUUAGAUACCCUGGUAG